UACAGAGGUCCCAAGCGUUGUUCGGAUUUACUGGGCGUAAAGGGUGCGUAGGUGGCGGGGUAAGUCUGGUGUGAAAGCUCCGAGCUCAACUCGGAAAAGCAUCGGAAACUAUCUCGCUGGAGGGUCGGAGGGGAGACUGGAAUUCUCGGUGUAGCAGUGAAAUGCGUAGAUAUCGAGAGGAACACCAGUGGCGAAGGCGAGUCUCUGGACGACUCCUGACACUGAGGCACGAAAGCUAGGGGAGCAAACAGG
rnacentral:rRNA from 1 species